rnacentral:rRNA from 1 species
GUACGCUGGCGGCACGCCUAAUACAUGCAAGUCGAACGAAGUAGCAAUACUUAGUGGCAGACGGGUGAGUAACAUGUAGGUAUCUUCCCAUUGGUGAGGAAUAACACGAGGAAACUUGUGCUAAUACCUCAUAAGUCUUCACGGAGAAAGCUUUAUGCGCCGAUGGAUGAGCCUGCACUUGAUUAGUUUGUUGGUGGGGUAAUGGCCUACCAAGACUUUGAUCUAUAGCUGAUCUGAGAGGAUGAUCAGCCACAUUGGGACUGAGACACGGCCCAAACUCCUACGGGAGGCAGCAGUAGGGAAUAUUGCACAAUGGAGGAAACUCUGAUGCAGCGAUGCCGCGUGAGUGAAGAAGGCCUUUGGGUUGUAAAGCUCUUUCGUCGGGGAAGAAAAUGACUGUACCCGAAUAAGAAGGUCCGGC